ACGGAGGGUGCAAGCGUUAUUCGGAAUUACUGGGCGUAAAGGGCGUGCAGGCGGGCGAGCAAGUCUGGUGUGAAAGCCCGGGGCUUAAGCCCGGAAGGGCAUUGGAAACUGCUUUUCUUGAGUUCUGGAGAGGAAAGUAGAAUUCCCGGUGUAGCGGUGAAAUGCGUAGAGAUCGGGAGGAACAUCAGUGGCGAAGGCGCCCUUCUGGACAGCAACUGACGCUGAGGCGCGAAAGCGUGGGGAGCAAACAG
rnacentral:rRNA from 1 species